UACGUAGGGAGCAAGCGUUGUCCGGAAUCAUUGGGCGUAAAGCGUGCGUAGGUGGUUCUUUAAGUCAGGUGUGAAAUCCCUGGGCUCGACCUGGGAACUGCAUUUGAUACUGGAGAGCUAGAGUGUGGUAGAGGAUGGUGGAAUUCCCGGUGUAGCGGUGAGAUGCGUAGAUAUCGGGAGGAACAUCAGUGGCGAAGGCGGCCAUCUGGACCAACACUGACACUGAGGCACAAAAGCGUGGGGAGCAAACAGG
rnacentral:rRNA from 1 species